rnacentral:rRNA from 1 species
GACGAACGCUGGCGGCGUGCUUAACACAUGCAAGUCGAACGGAAAGGCCCUGCUUUUGUGGGGUGCUCGAGUGGCGAACGGGUGAGUAACACGUGAGUAACCUGCCCUUGACUUUGGGAUAACUUCAGGAAACUGGGGCUAAUACCGGAUAGGAGCUCCUGCUGCAUGGUGGGGGUUGGAAAGUUUCGGCGGUUGGGGAUGGACUCGCGGCUUAUCAGCUUGUUGGUGGGGUAGUGGCUUACCAAGGCUUUGACGGGUAGCCGGCCUGAGAGGGUGACCGGCCACAUUGGGACUGAGGUAAGGCCCAGACUCCUACGGGGGGCAGCAGGGGGGAAUAUUGCACAAUGGGCGGAAGGCUGAAGCAGCAACGCCGCGUGCGGGAUGACGGCCUUCGGGUUUUAAACCGCUUUCGCCUGUGACGAAGCGGGAGUGACGGUAAUGGGUAAAGAAACACCGGCUAACUACGUG